rnacentral:rRNA from 1 species
AGAGUUUGAUCCUGGCUCAGAACGAACGCUGGCGGCGUGCUUAACACAUGCAAGUCGAACGCGAACGAGUUCUUCGGAACUUUAGUAGAGUGGCGCACGGGUGAGUAACGCGUAAGUAAUCUACCCUCGCAUCUGGGAUAACCCACCGAAAGGUGUGCUAAUACCGGAUACGUCUAAGUUAAUAUCUUUUUUUUAGAGAAAGGUGGCCUCUGAUUCAAGCUACUGUGCUGGGAGGAGCUUGCGUACCAUUAGCUAGUUGGUAGGGUAACGGCCUACCAAGGCGACGAUGGUUAGCGGGUCUGAGAGGAUGAUCCGCCACACUGGAACUGAAACACGGACCAGACUCCUACGGGAGGCAGCAGUGAGGAAUAUUGCGCAAUGGGGGCAACCCUGACGCAGCGACGCCGCGUGGAUGAUGAAGGCCUUCGGGUUGUAAAAUCCUGUCAGAUGGGAAGAAGUGCUAUAUGGUUAAUAUCUGUAUAGUUUGACGGUACCAUCAAAGGAAGCACCGGCUAACUCCGUGCCAGCAGCCGCGGUAAUACGGAGGGUGCAAGCGUUGUUCGGAAUUACUGGGCGUAAAGCGCGCGUAGGCGGCUAUGUAAGUCAGAUGUGAAAGCCCGCGGCUCAACCGUGGAAGUGCAUUUGAAACUGUAUAGCUUGAGUACUGGAGGGGGUAGUGGAAUUCCCGGUGUAGAGGUG